rnacentral:rRNA from 1 species
CCCUUAGAUGUUCUGGACCGCACGCGCGCUACACUGAUGCAUUCAACAAGCCUAGCCUUGACCGAGAGGUCCGGGUAAUCUUUGAAACUGCAUCGUGAUGGGGCUAGAUUAUUGCAAUUAUUAAUCUUCAACGAGGAAUGCCUAGUAAGCGUGAUUCAUCAAAUCGCGUUGAUUACGUCCCUGCCCUUUGUACACACCGCCCGUCGCUCCUACCGAUUGAAUGUGUUGGUGAGGAGCUCGGAUUGGCAGCAGUUGGUGGUUCGCCACCGGCUAUUGCUGAGAAGUCCUCCAAACCGCCCCAUUUAGAGGAAGGAGAANUCGUAACA